GUAUUGAUUUUUUACAUUUUUAUCUAUAUACACACGUGAAUUUACACACAUAAACUUAUAUAUAAAGUCUAGAAGAUAAUAGUGGUGGACAUGAAUUUUAGUGCUUCCGUAAUCCUCAUAUGAAAACAUAAAAAUACUUGAUAACAAAACCAAAAACCCAAUAACAGCUUUAGAAUAAAGAGAAGAAAAAGUAUCUAUCUUCAUGAAGCUCAACAUGGAAAUGGGUAGGAAGACUCCAUCAACAUCCACAAUAUUUGUGUGCUGGCAGAACUUCUGCAAGAGAAAGUUAGUAAGAAACAACUCGUUACUGGAGAAGAGAAGAAUUAUAUAAACAGCCAAUAGGUAUUUUCCCAGAAGGACAGAGGUCUGUGAGGAUCAGCUGGGCUGGAGACCAACACAUUCAGGGCUAGAGCAAGGCCAUCCUCAAGGACACAGAGUGCCAGAGGUAAGCCAUUUGAACAAAUUGAGACUAGGGUAAAUCCAGUCCAGCAGGAGCCUGGCUUUGGUGUUUUUUUGUUUUGUUUUUUUAACUGCAGCACUGACAGCUCCAAAAAUGUUUCACUUUCAGUGUUCUCAGCAUACCACUGAGACCUUGUACCUUGGAUCUUCUUGUAUGCCUCACCUUUUCUUUAUUGUGUAAUAAAGACACAAACCAUCCUGGGUUGUCACUGCCUCUCCAUCGGAGAGGUCAGGUCGCACCAGGUCCCAGCUUUUUUUCUGUUGUCUUGUUUUAUUCUCAGUCUUGCAUCACCCUCUCUCAGGACCUCACUGGCUGCACAGAUCAUGGAAGUGUGAGGUUUGGGAGAGCAGCUGGAAUGGUGAGGGCUUCCCUCUGCUCUAGCAACAGAAGAACACAGACCUGAUGGUGAAUUGCAAGGAACUUAAAGAGUCUAGUUCUGUGAACUCUGAAAACAGUUCUCUCCCAUAGUGUACUCUACACGGGGGAAAACUGAUGAGAGUGAAAUCUCAGAAAGCUAGGAUGAAAGAAUGAGAGAGACAAUAGAAAGAUCUCAAUAAAACUGACAGGGAAGCCAGAGAUAAAAAAUGUCCGAUACAUUUAAGGAACUAAGCCAUCACCUGUAGAGAACUGUGCUCACUUUCAUCUUAUAUCUGAUGUCACAAACAACUUAAGGCAUAUCAAAAACAGCUUUUAAACUGAGGGUUUUCACGGCCCACACAGGUUGCACUAACCUCAUGCCACAGAAGUUCAUGUCUCCAACCAGCCCCUGCUCUGUACUAACUCUCUCCCUGGCGAUGGCGGUGGGUUGAUUUAACCUAAUACAGUUUCCAUGGCAGUUGUAAUUUGGAGCUUUCUGCUUUACCAGGAUAUUUAUGACUUGACCACUCUACUUUUUAGGGUUUGGAUUCUUCCUUUUAGACUGAAACAUGUGUGUCCAGUUAGUCUAGGCCCUGAGCCAUGAAGAAUUAAUGGAGGGCCUUAGAUUAAAAAGCAAACUAGAUCUGCCUAACCACUAUGUAAUCAUCCCUUUUCUCUUUUCUCUCUCUUUUCUUUCUUUCUUUCUUUCUUUCUCUUUCUUUUUUUCUUUCAUUCUCUUUCUCUUUCUUUUUUUUCUUUCAUUCUCUUUCUCUUUCUUUCUUUCCUUCUUUUUCUUUUGCCUCUAAUCAUUUCUGCUAGUAGACUUCUUUAGAUAAAAUUUACUAUAUUUUACCUAAUAUUUUAGGUAUUCUGCAAUAAGAUAUAUUUUUCUGAAUAUUUAUUCUGAUAAGUAGGUCAAACAAGUGUUUAUUUAUUAGCUAUUAUGCAUACAGUCUCAGGCUUUCAAUGUAUGUCUGUUAAGUAAAUAUCUCAGUUAAGAUUCAUCUGAUUAUUCUCAAGCCUGCUCCACAAGCCAUCUCAUCUUCUCAGUAAAUGACAACUCUAAACUUUCUAUUGCUUGGGCAAAAACUUCAUAACAAUUCUUAGCCCCUUUCUUUCUCUCCCAUUUUUCAUUGCAUGUAUCAGAAGAGUUUUUAUCUAUGGCCUUUACACAUACCUAGAAUUAUAUUCCUUGCCCUCAACUAUUAGCACCACAAUUCUACUCAGCAUUAACUCUCACUUUGUCUGUUGUAAUAAGCAAUAAGCUACUUUGAAUUGUUUCCAUCCUAGAGUCUCUUCUCAGUUCUUCCAGAGUAACACAGUUGAAUCAUUGUUCACUAUGUCACACUUCUGCUCAGAAACCCCAGUGGCUUAUGUCAUGCACAUUGAAACUUAAACCCUUAUGCAAGACUGUAUUUAGAACCCACCUACCCUCAACACUCACUCUUCCUUGUUUUCUCUGACCCAAACACCAAGACCUUCUUCCUAUUCUUCAAACACAAUAGGUCUAGUUGUUUUGUCCAUCUGUGAUGCAUUUCUUCCAGAUAUCUACACAGCUAUUUUCUUACUUCUUUAAAUUUUCCCUGGAAAGUCAACUUCUCUGUGACAUCUAUGGUGUCCAUUCUGCUUAAAUUAAUUCCUUACUCUAGAAGAUAAACACUAAUUUCCAUGAUUUAUUUGAUGGACUACCGAAUAUCUUCUAUAUAAUACAUAAUGGAUUUGUUUCUUAUUUUCUGUCUCUGUUGGAAGGUGAGCUUCAUAAGAUUAGAUAUAGUCUCCUUUUUGCUUUGUUUUCUGUUGUAUCUACAGAACCUACAAGAAUUUCAGGCUGCAUUGAAGAUGUUCUGUCCAUAUUAUAUGAAUGGGUGAAGGAAUGAAUGAACGAAUGGAUGAUACUCUAAAGAAAAUAUAACAAAUGGACACAUUUCUGCUGUGUAAAUUUAAAUAGUAUUGUGAAAAAUCUAAGAAGAAUAAGGCAUCAUUAGAUAACAGAAAAUGAUUGUGACAUGGAAAUUCACAUUAUACUCAAGACUAUCUUAAAGAUAACAGUGCAAACCUCUGGCGAUGCUGAACCACUGACCAUGCUGCCGUGACUAUUCUUACUGUCCCCUCUGGCUGGAACGUCCCCUCCACAGCUUCAGUUCAGUCCUGCACGUUGUUAGCCCCUGCUCCUGAGAUGACAAAUGGCUGGAAGAGUCCUUUCCAUUCAGGGCAAAUCUCUGAUGGGGCCCACAGAGCCCUUGCCCUUACCAAAAAAAAUCUUUCCCAACAAGGAUUUCAAACUCAAUCAAUCUUCAGAUUUUUUACUAUGUUACAUACUUACAUUUCCAGAGUCCCACUGCUGAUGUGUAUGCAUAUUUGUAGGGUGGGAUUUUCCUUUUGCUGAUUGUAAUUCCCACAUAUACCCAUCUGGCAAACUUGACUUCCUGGCAUAAAUCUUUCUUACUCAUCCCUUUUGCUUAGAUGUUGCUUUAACCCCCUCCAUUUCCAAGUCUCUAAUUGUGGAGACAGAAAUUAUAUGAAUUCUCUGACAUUGUAAACUGUGCCCCUUUAGAAACCGUAGGAAUCCAUGAUAUACCAAAGAAAAGAGAUUUUCAAGCCACUUUAAAGUUAAUUUACAUGUUUCCCUAGGAACUCUGUGUGCCUGCAUCAUUUAUCUACUCUAAUUCUCCCAGCUAUGUGUCUGAAAAUAAACCCAAGAAAUACUUGAGAGUUAACAAGCCAUGCAUGCGUUUUAAAAUCUUCUCGUUUAAAAAGGAAUUUUAAAAGAAAACAAACACAAUAUCUUGCUUGAAAAAAUAGAAGAAAAUAAAUGAGUUUAUCACUUUGCCAAGUUCAAUAGUCACUUUUCAUAUGCUUAAAAAUACCUUGAUGAUUCAUUAGUAAAUAUUUGAGAACAAGUAUCUACAAAGGUGACAAUAUUCCUUCUACAAAAGUGGGUCUUCCAAUUUUUUUCUUUUCUUGUGUGUGUAUAUGUGUGUGUGUGUACAUGUAUAUAUGUGUCUUUUUUUUUAGUCAUAGAGUGACAGAAAGCAUUUAUUCAUUUGCACACAAAGGCUUUAGACUUUGGAUCACAUAACUCAUACUGAUUUUAACAAAUGUGCUGGAAUAUUCCAUUAUGCAUGAUUUUACUUAAUGUCUACUAUAUGUCAAGCCCUCAGUUCCAAGGGAAUGAAAACAAACUACUUAUCAAUAGUGGAAAAUAUGGAAAAAUGCAAGGAAAUGAAAUGUGAAUGACACUUGCAAUACCAUGGGUAUUUUGUGUAAUAUGAAAUGUCAAAUGUCACUAAAUAGGCAGGUGCAAAGUUUACAGGAAUACGGGGGAAGGGGACUUAAUUUUGUUUGAGAAUAGAGAGCUAUUCAGAGAGUUAUUAACUACACAACAGACAUUUGAGAAGCACAGAAAGGGGAAGUAGUCAAAUAAAGGCUCAGGGAAGAAGGGUCAGGAUGGUGACUGGUUGGUGGGAAUGGUAUACCGGGUGCACAGGGGCAAACAGAUCUGAUGUCCCAAACAUUGGAUAAGGCACAAUUUUGAAGUUCCUGGAAAGCAGGCUAAAUAGUAUGACGUCUUGAAAGCCAUCAGGAAAUGGUAAGAGAGGAAGCAUGCUCUUGGAGGUUUUAUUUGUGAUUGACAUCUGCUGAUUGGAAAAAUGAUGUCUACAUUUCCUGGUUUAAUCGCAAUUUUUUUAGUUGGUAUUUUAAGUUCAUCAAAACUUGUAGCCUUCAUCUUCUUUAUUCUAUGUAUCCACUUGGUUUUCAUAAGAGGAUCUAGAGAGAAGCUACUUUCUUUGGUCCAGGCAGACAAUACCAUCUGUGUAACCUAUUAUAGUAUAAUUGUAUUACCUGAGGAAAAACAUUUCCUUGAAAAAUACUUAAUGGUUGCUUAUGUUCCAGAAAAGCAGGUUUCUUAGAUCUAUUCUUGUGUGCAAGCUUUGACAAAGUGAAAAGGACAGAGAGCCUAGAAACAGGAAAUCUUCUGGCUAGAGGAAACAUAAAUUCUGUUUCCAUAGUUCCAGUUAGUCUCCUCUUUAAAUGCUACUCGCCUUAUCUGAUCCUUCCUCCAGAAACUAGGAAUUUACAGGGAAAAAAGAGCUCCAGUUGUCCAAUCAUGAAUAGGACACAAAGAGUUGGGAUUUUUCACAUAGCCCACUGACGUCUGAAGUUGGCAAAUAAUAAAAUGUCAUGUCAGGCAUUGUGUCUAUGCCUUGUCAACAGCUAUUCCAAAUUCAUUUUGUCAUUUCGUGUUUGUUGGAAUUAAAACACUUAAUUUAUUAAUUCUGUUUCAGGUCUGGGUUUAUUAGCUCUUGCUAAUGGAUAAAUGAUUGAGACACUGCAAUUGCUUUCAUCUUAUCACAUUGGGAGUAAGGAUGACGCUAUGAGCUAAUUUAACACAAUGAGCACUUAAAUGUGCAGAAAAUUACAAGGUGCUGGUACUUUGAAAAAAGUUCAUCUCUACCACAUAUAAUACAAAUGCUGAACAUUUCCCUUUAAUUUUAUUCCAUAUUCAUUAAUAUAAACAAUUUUAUUCAAGUUGGUCUAUGCCUAGGUACUAAUUUAUUUAUAAUUAUUUCAAAAAUUUAGACUUUUGCUGAAAUGCUUUUUGAGACAGUACUCUACUGCUGCCAUUGUGUCUUGAAGCUAUUCAUAAUGGCUAUAUUUGGUGUUAAUGUUACAUAUGACAUAAUAUGAUCUACUGUGUAUUUAAAAUUCUAUUUUAGUAUAGUUCCUCAUAGUUUCCUGCCUAUGGAUGAAAAUAAAAGUAGUUCAGACACAUUGCACUGGACCUGCCAGAGAGGAGAAAACAGAAGUCAACUUGUUAGAAGUCAAGCAAGUGAUUACCCUUUGAAGGAUGCUUACAUAUAUCUGUUUCAUUUUUCGCAAGAUGACUGUGAGUAUCCUCACUUGCCAAUCAAGAGUGGAUCUUGGAGAGGUUGGGAAAGUUGUAUGUGCAUACUGCUUACCACUCCAUUUACAUCUCUUUGCAAAAAUGUCACAUCAGAGAAAGAAAUAAUUUAAGAUGUAUUUUAUAAGAAAGAUUAACAAGACUUUAUCUUUUAUCAGAUAGGACAAAGGGUGAUAAAGAAACAGUUAAAGUAUUGUGAAAGUGUAAGAAACUGCUGAAAGAGGAAAAAAUAACUCAGGGAAAAGGAGAAAAGAAAGAAGAAAAACGAUAUAAAUUUGCAUAUACUUUAAAGAUUACUAAGAUGAUUGUACUACUAAUUCUGUUAGUUCUUGGAACAAAACAGUUAAUAUCCAAAGGAUUGGAUCAGUAAUCUGAUAAUUUGAAUAAGACUUUGAAAGAUAACUAUGCAAAACAACAAAAUUAGUUAUAUUCCUACCACCUUGCUUUGAAAGCCUCCAUUGUUAUUGUUUGGGGUCUUUGUUAUAGUUAUUUAUUUAACUCUUGCUUCUUAUUUUUCUUACACUUUGUUGUGUUUUGUUUUGUUUUUCCCUCCAAUACAGAAAGGAGAGGUGUACAUGUAUAGGCUUAUAUAUAUGUCUAGAACUUCACCUAAAGAGUUUACAAGCACUGAUUUUAGUAUUGUGAUGGUAUGAAUAGCUACCCUGAAAAAACUGAGACAUCAUGGUAACUAUUGCUGACUUCCUAUCAUUUUAUUUUGAAAUCUAAUGAUGCUUUUAUACUUGGUUUUGACUGGUUUUAGUCUGUUUUCAAUUAUUUGAUUUCAGUAUGUGUGAAGAUAUGGACCGUUAUUUUCAAGAAAACGAGACAUUAUAGUAGCCAUUAUUGAUUACCCGUUGUCUGGUUUAUAAGACUCAUAAGGCUCUCAUUCUUUUGUUUUGAUUGCUUUUUAUACUAUUAAUUUCUUGUGUGUGAAGUUAUAGACAACUAUUUCAAAGAAAACAAAAUACAUUAUGGUAGCCACUGUUGAUUUCCUGUUAUCUUAUAUUGAAGUCCUGUGUUAUUUGCAUUGUUUUACUCUGAUUUGUUUUUUGUUUUGCUUUGUUUUCUAUUCUUUUUCAAAUAAAAAAAUAAACAGACAAAGUAGACAAAAUGUCUUGAAUGGUGGAAUAAUUUAACAAACAUUCUAAAAUGUUAAGGAAAAAAAUUCUUGAAUCUGUGAACAACAGAAGAAUAGUUAAAACACAUGCUAAUUUUUUUAAAUGAGGAGUGGCAAAAUAGACACAAAAUUUCAUAAGAUUCUGAGGACUUUAUCAUACAUUAGUAAGAUUUUGAUUAAGCAUAUGCUGCUUACAGAG